rnacentral:rRNA from 1 species
UUAUGUCUACGGGGGGCAGCAGUAGGGAAUCUUCCACAAUGGGCGAAAGCCUGAUGGAGCAACGCCGCGUGGGUGAAGAAGGUCUUCGGAUCGUAAAACCCUGUUGUUAGAGAAGAAAGUGCGUGAGAGUAACUGUUCACGUUUCGACGGUAUCUAACCAGAAAGCCACGGCUAACUACGUGCCAGCAGCCGCGGUAAUACGUAGGUGGCAAGCGUUGUCCGGAUUUAUUGGGCGUAAAGCGAGUGCAGGCGGUUCAAUAAGACUUGUGUGGAAGACUUCGGGC